CCGCCCGCUCCUCCGCGCCGCGCCGCUGCCCGCGCGGGCCGGGCCGCCUCCGAGCUCCCGGGCCGCCCCGCGGCAGGGCCGGGGCAGGGGGGUGCCCCUCUCACUGGGCGCCCGGCUCCCCUCACCCGCUCCCGCCCCCUGGGCGGCCGCGGAGCCGAGGGGACGGCGGGAAGGGGGCCUCCGGAGGACAGCGGACGGCUACGAACGCGGGCUCCGCCACUCGAGCCGCUCCGUUACCGCAGCGGCGGUGGCGGCGGCGACGACGACCAGGGCCGUGUUGUUGCUGCCAACUUGUCGGGAGGACACUGAGCAUGCGCGCGCGGAGACCACAUCCGGGAGGUAAGUAAGAAAUUUUGAAGACCACAGUCCCAGAGGAGCUAAGCUGCCACCUUUCCUGAAACCUCCCUGAAUGAAACGUCUCAUUUCCCAGAUCCAUCCUGUCUUGGGCAGGCACAGGCUUGAAAGCUUUCUUCCUCUUUUGUCUUUUUUGAUGGCUCCCCCUCCUGUGAAAUGGAACUUCCCCAAAGACGCUGAUGGUGGGAAAGAUUGAAAGCAGGAGGAGAAGGUGGCAACAGAGAACAAGACGGUUGGAUGGCAUCACCGACUCAACAGACAGGAGUCUGAGCAAGCUCCGGGAGAUGGUGAAGAAGAGGGAACCCUGGCAUACUGCAAUCCACAGGGUAGCAGAGUCAGACCCAACUUAACAUCUGAACGGCAGGGUGAGGAGAAUCCAGAGCUUUAACCUUUUCAUCCCAGAGGUGGAGACCGAGAGCUCUCACCUCUUGCACUGCCCACCUAGGAAGGAAUAGGAUAAUACAGUAUUCCUCUGGAAAUGGCCUAGUAGUUAACACCUCACAACUCCAGGCAAGAAUUAGUACACAGACAUUUUAGAGUUAACCCAGCGUUUUGUUUUGUUUUUACAGUUAUCCAAGUUGCCUUUGAAAAAUCACUUGACAUUGAUUAACCUGAACACUAUCAGUGAUUCCCACAUUCCUAAAAACACUACAGUAAAUCCUGUCCUCUCCUUUGACUUAAAGUAUGACUGACGUGCAUUUGACUUAUCAAGUGAUUUGUUCUUUUAGCUUUGUUUUGUCAAGUCUGACUCUUUUGUGAUCCCUGGGCUGCAGCCCACUAGGCUCCUCUGUCCUUGGGGGUUUUCCAGGUAAGAAUACUAGAGUAGGUUGCCAUUUCCUUCUUCGGGGGCUCCUCCCAGCCCAGGGAUCGAACCUGUGUCUCCUGCAUUGCAGGCAAAUUCUUUACCACUGAGCCACCUGUGGUAAGCCCUCUUUUAGCUUUCUAGGUGGCCAAAGCCAGACUCAAUGAGGAAGAAAGUAGACAGAUGGAGCUGAGGCUCUAUCCCCUUCCUUCCUCCAUCCCUCCCUCUUUUUUCUUUCCUUACUAAAUGGCUGUAAUAGCCAGAUCCAGCAAGGGCCACAAGAGCAUCUGUGGACAGAAGCUGACAGAAUCCAGAGUGGAGUGUGGGGGUGGGUGGGGAGGGGAAUGUGACUGGAGUGUGAGUCCAUAGUCUCUGUUCAAAAGAUUAAAUUGAAACUUGAAAUUCAGAGUGACUAGUAUGUAUCUUCUUCUUUCUCUCCUUUAAGACUCAGUGAUCCUCUAGGAUCCCUGGUGUUUGUCCCGGUUGGACACCCUUUCUUUCUGCUCCUAGACUGGCCUGUGAGUUCCCUGAGGACAGAGGUUCUCUUUUCUGGCCCUCAGCAGAAUGUCUAACGCUGGGCCAUUCAUGGAAUGUUCGAAUGUUUGUUGAGUGAAUGCUCGGAGGGGAGAGGUGGGAGCUAAGACUGGGAAGAUAGGUUUGGAGCCAGGCUGUGAAGGAAGACACGCUCAUGAGUUGAACUCCAGUGGAAGACGGAUACGUGUGGGUUUUGUUUACAGUUUUAUUGAGGUAUAAUCUGCAUUAGACCAUAAUCUACAUUAACUUUUUUAAGUAGAGAGUGAAUUUAGGUAAAUGUAUACAUCGUGCAGUCACCACGAUGACCCAGUUAGAACACUUCCCUCACUCCAGAAUGUUCCCUUCUACCCCUCUUCAGUCAGUCCUCACCUCCAUACUCCAGACCACAGGUAACCACUGACAUGCCUCCUGUUGCUAAGGUUUUGGUUUUUCUAGAAUUUCAUAUAAAUAAAAUCGUAUAGUAUGCAGCUUUUUGUAACUGGGUUCUUUCACUCAGCAUGUUGUUUUUGAGAUCCAAAAUAUCACUGUAUGUAUCAGUAGCUGGUUCCUUUUGAUUGUUGAGUAGUAGUAUAUUGUGCUGUCGUUGCAUAGUUGCUAAGUUGUGUCCGACUCUUUUGCAACCCUGUGGACUAUAUACCUUGCCAGGCUUCUCUGUCCAUGGGAUUCUCCAGGCAAGAAUACUGGAGUGGGUUGCCAUUGCCUUCUCCAGGGGAUCUUCCCAACCCAGGGAUUGAGCUCACAUCUCCUGAAUUGGCAGGCGGAUUCUUCAAAAUGUUAAUAAUCGCUGAAUAGGGAUAAAGGCUACAUGGAAGUUCUUUGUACUAUUCUUGCAAGUUUUCUGUAAGAUUAAAGUUUUUUCAGUCACUUGCCCAUGUGAUAAAGUUCCUUCAGCAGUACCACUGGAAUUUGAACCCUCUGUAGCCUCCAGCCCUCCACACACCAUGCUUUGUGGAGCUGCCCAGUGACCCUAAUAGCUCUUUGCUGAAGCCAGGCCCCAGCAGGGCCUCCUGACCUGAUGCCUCAGGAAGGAGGGGGCCCAGGUGCCUUGGAGCAGUGUUUCUCCAACUUUGAACAUGUGCACAAAUCCCUUGGAGUCUUGUUACAAUGCAGAAUCUCCUUCAGUGGAUCCAAGGUGGAGCUGGAGCGUCUGUGCUUCUAACAAGUUUCCAGACGAGGCGGAUCCUGCUGGUCCCUGGAUCAGAGUUCCAAAGGCGAGGCCGUAGACUCUAGGACCCAGAACUCUAGGGCCUAAAAUGCAAAAUGUAUGGGGGAGGGGAGGAAUAGAAAGGAACAUUUAGGAGACGGUCCACAGUUGUGAUUCUAUGUACUUUAAAUGCUUUUCAGUCAAAAGCUUUCAUUUUUCACACAUCCUGGCAUUCGAUAAAGACUCAGAGUGAGCCUACUGGGGCGCCAUACUUUAAAGUAAGGAAAUAAAUGGUGAUUAACGUUAACUGAAAGAGUUAUGAUUUAUCCGGUAUUUCCUUGUCCUCAGAGACUCCAAAUCAGCCUUAAAUCUAGACAGUUUUUAGCCCAACAAGUGAACUUGUCAUCCAACAGUCUCACUUAGCAUCACAGGCACAAGAGAGAACUUUGCAGGCAGGGAGCCUUGUAAAUGAUGAUUUCAUCAAAAGCAAAAACAAAACAUUUAAAAAACAUUUGGCAUUUGUGCUGUGGCAUCAUUUUAGUGACAUAAGAAUUUUAUAAUGAGUGUUUGGACAAAGGACUUUCAGCUUUCAGCCCUAAGGGGGGAAGUAUCUUACCUUAACAUCGCCUACAUCUUUUAUUAUUUUUAAAGCAUUUUAGGGGGAGACAACCUUGAGGGAAACAAUUGAUUUUACCCAGGACCAAAAUUACAGUUACUACUUUUUUGGAGCUUUGAGGAUAAUCAGGUGCCACCUUUUAGGGACGAGGUAUCUGAAGGAGAAGGAUCUUCCCUAUUGCCUCAGUGGUAAAGAAUCCGCCUGGCAAUUUAGGAGCCAUAAUGCAGGUUCGAUCCCUGGGUCGCGAAGAUCCUCUGGAGGAGGGAAUGGCAACCCACUCCAAUAUUCUUGCCUGGGAAAUCCCAUGGACAGAGGAACCUGGCAGGCUACAGUCCGUGGGGUCGCAAAGAGUCAGACUCAACUGAGCAACUAAAGGACAAUUUGAAGGGAAGAAGGAUGCUUUGAGCAUUUGAGCAGUAUACACCUCACAUCUACCUCUCAGGAAGGAGCCCUGAGAAGGAUAAGGAUACCUGGUUCCAAGACUUAGCCUUUCAGUCCCCUUCUUCCAAGAAAACGUGGCCAGGGACCUCCCUGGCGGUUCAGUGGUUGGGAAUCCGCCUGACAAUGCAGGGGACAUGGGUUCGAUCCCUGGUCCAGGAGGAUCCUGCUUGCUGUGGGGCAACUGAGCCCAUGCACAUAACUGCUCUAGAGCCCGCUGCACCCUAGAACGUGUGCUCUGCAACAAGAGAAGCCACCGCAACGAGGAGCCUUUGGACUGCAACUGAAGCAUGGCUCACGCUCUCUGCAACUAGAGAAAAGCCUGCACACAGCAGCGAAGACCCAGGGUAGCCAACAGAUAAUUAAAAUUAAAAAAAAAAAAAAAAGUGGCCAGCAGAAGCCUCACUCUCUGAGGCUCCCAGAACACGUUGAGCCCGCUGCAAGUUUUCUUUCCCUUUCUCCGGUGGUGGCCGAUGCCUCUCUGCUUUUGCUUCUUCCCUUUUCCUUCGCCUGGCUGACUUUCAGUUCCAGGCACAGCUGAUAAGCUGCCUCCAGCUGCUGCCUUUGAACUGUCCCUACCCACUUCCUGCCCUCUGAUCUCUUCUUGCCUUGGUUACCCAGAGCUGGCUGGAGCCUGGCCUGCAAGGUGACCCCAGUGAGGAAGUGUGGCAGGAGCCAGGGUCUGCUCCUAAGACGUAUGAGGGCCACAGCCCUCUCCCAGGCCAAGAGAGCCUCCUCCAUCGCUGGAAAUGAGAAGGCCCCGGAUGUCCCUUGUGGUCGAAGCUGUUUCCUCCCCCUCAUCCUUUUUAGGGGAGGCUGAUUAUCAGGUCAGCUCCUACACGGCUCAACAGUAACCCCUAUCCUCUCUAAAUAAGACACCCUGGGACUUCCGUGGUGGCCCCAUGGUUAAGAAUCUGCAUGCCAACGCAGGGGACACAGGUUGGAUCCCUGAGCUGGAAAUAUUACAUAUGCUGCAGGACAACUAAGCUCAUGGGCCACAAGUACUGAGCUGGUGCGCCAUAGCUGCGGAGGCCCUUACAGCUAGGGCCAUGCUCCACAACAGGAGAAGCUACUGCAAUGAGAUGUCCACAAACCACAACCAGAGAGUAGCCUCAUUCACGGCAACCAGAAGAAGCUCACAGGGAGCAACAAGGACCCAGCGCAGCAAAAAUAAUAAAUGAAUAAAUAAAAGCCCUGGCUCAGAAGCCCCCUCCAGCCUGGAUGCCUCCCCCGCAACCGCUGUUCCCCAACACACAGAUAAUCAGCUUCAAAGGGGAGCUUAGACUUGGUCUGAACUUAACCCGAGACUGCACUUGUUAGAAUUCG
ensembl:lncRNA